UAGGGAAUCUUCCGCAAUGGACGCAAGUCUGACGGAGCAACGCCGCGUGAGUGAAGAAGGAUUUCGGUUCGUAAAACUCUGUUGUUAGAGAAGAACAGCGCAUAGAGUAACUGUUAUGCGUGUGACGGUAUCUAACCAGAAAGCCACGGCUAACUACGUGCCAGCAGCCGCGGUAAUACGUAGGUGGCAAGCGUUGUCCGGAUUUAUUGGGCGUAAAGCGGGCGCAGGCGGUCAAUUAAGUCUGAUGGGAAAGCCCCCGGCUCAACCGGGGAGGGUCAUUGGAAACUGGUUGACUUGAGUGCAGAAGAGGAGAGUGGAAUUCCAUGUGUAGCGGUGAAAUGCGUAGAUAUAUGGAGGAACACCAGUGGCGAAGGCGACUCUCUGGUCUGUAACUGACGCUGAGGCUCGAAAGCGUGGGUAGCAAACAGG
rnacentral:rRNA from 1 species